UUAUCAAAUUCCUCUUCAUUUUGUGAUUUCGUUUGAGAAUAAUCCUCAUAACAAACAAAACUUACACCAAGAGCUAUUUACAAUGCAUAUAUAUAUGCCUUUUCCACAACACCAUUCUUCAAAAGCUGAAAGACCAUAUAUAUACAAACAUUGAUUUCUCGUUGCUAAAUUUUGGCUUUAGCCUGGUCUGCAAAGCUGACCUCGCUCGCAAAAUAUGCACAUAACGUAUUUUGUACAUGCUUUAGAGAGAGGUACUAGCUUCCAGUGCACCAGAAUCGUGAAAAUAGCUCCCCGAGAAACAUGAUUGAUGCAUCAGCACACAAGGAAAAACAUUGUUCAUAUCAAAUUGGUAGUUGCUCUAUUAUUCCUGCAAGGACUAUUCACGUGCUUGAUCCUGUGACUAUCCAGCUU
rnacentral:misc_RNA from 1 species